rnacentral:rRNA from 1 species
AAUCAACGCUGGCGGCGUGCCUAACACAUGCAAGUCGAACGCGAAAGCCCUUUCGGGGGUAAGUAGAGUGGCGUCCGGGUGAGUAACACGUAGGUAAUCUGCCUUCGGGUGGGAAUAACCAGUCGAAAGAUUGGCUAAUACCGCAUAAUGCAGCGGCACCUAAUGGUGAUUAGUUGUUAAAGCGGGGAUCGUAAGACCUCGCGCCUGAAGAGGAGCCUGCGGCAGAUUAGCUAGNGGUGAGGUAAUGGCUCACCAAGGCUUCGAUCUGUAGCUGGUCUGAGAGGACGGCCAGCCACACUGGCACUGACACACGGGCCAGACUCCUACGGGAGGCAGCAGUGGGAAGUUUUGGCAAUGGGCGAAAGCCCUGACCCAGCAACGCCGCGUGAGGGAGG